rnacentral:rRNA from 1 species
AUUGAACGCUGGCGGCAGGCUUAACACAUGCAAGUCGAGCGGGGUGAUGGUGCUUGCACUAUCACUUAGCGGCGGACGGGUGAGUAAUGCUUAGGAAUCUGCCUAUUAGUGGGGGACAACAUCUCGAAAGGGAUGCUAAUACCGCAUACGUCCUACGGGAGAAAGCAGGGGAUCACUUGUGACCUUGCGCUAAUAGAUGAGCCUAAGUCGGAUUAGCUAGUUGGUGGGGUAAAGGCCUACCAAGGCGACGAUCUGUAGAGGGUCUGAGAGGAUGAUCCGCCACACUGGGACUGAGACACGGCUCAGACUACUACGGGAGGCAGCAGUGGGGAAUAUUGGACAAGGGGGGGAACCCUGAUCCAGCCAUGCCGCGUGUGUGAAGAAGGCCUUAUGGUUGUAAAGCACUUUAAGCGAGGAGGAGGCUCUUUUGGUUAAUACCCAAGAUGAGUGGACGUUACUCGCAGAAUAAGCACCGGCUAACUCUGUGCCAGCAGCCGCGGUAA